AUUGAACGCUGGCGGCAGGCCUAACACAUGCAAGUCGAACGAGUGGCGGACGGGUGAGUAAUGUCUGGGAAACUGCCUGAUGGAGGGGGAUAACUACUGGAAACGGUAGCUAAUACCGCAUACCAUCGGAUGUGCACAGAGGGGCUUAGCUAGUAGGUGGGGUAACGGCUAACCUAGGCGACGAUCCCUAGCUGGUAGGAGAGGAUGACCGGCCAAACGGGAACUGAGACACGGUCCAGACUCCUACGGGAGGCAGCAGGGGGGAAUAUUGCACAAUGGGCGCAAGCCUGAUGCAGCCAUGCCGCGUGUAUGAAGAAGGCUUUCGGGUUGUAAAGUACUUUCCGCGGGGAGGCGUUACCCGCAGAAGAAGCACCGGCUAACUCCGUGCCAGCACCGCGGUAAUAC
rnacentral:rRNA from 1 species